rnacentral:lncRNA from 1 species
CACGCCCCCCACCAAGGCUAUAGCCCACCCGUUUUUUGGCCAUUUUUCCGCUGGGGGGUCUUGGCGCCCCGACCUUCGGGGGCUGAUUUUUGGGCGCGGCUGUGCCCGUGGCCUAUUUUUGGCACACGGAGGCCGCCCGCAAAGUCUGGGGCCAUUCCGAGUCCGGCGGACGAACUUCGCCCACCACCCCCACCAAGGCUAUAGCCCACCCGUUUUUUGGCCAUUUAUCCGCUGGGGGGUCUUGGCGCCCCGACCUUCGGGGGCUGAAUUUUGGGCGCGGGUGUGCCCGUGGCCUAUUUUUGGCACACGGAGGCCGCCCGCAAAGUCUGGGGCCAUUCCGAGUCCGGCGGACGAACUUCGCCCACGCCCCCCACCAAGGCUAUAGCCCACCCGUUUUUUGGCCAUUUUUCCGCUGGGGGGUCUUGGCGCCCCGACCUUCGGGGGCUGAUUUUUGGGCGCGGGUGUGCCCGUGGCCUAUUUUUGGCACACGGAGGCCGCCCGCAAAGUCUGGGGCCAUUCCGAGUCCGGCGGACGAACUUCGCCCACGCCCCCCACCAAGGCUAUAGCCCACCCGUUUUUUGGCCAUUUUUCCGCUGGGGGGUCUUGGCUCCCCGACCUUCGGGGGCUGAUUUUUGGGCGCGGGUGUGCCCGUGGCCUAUUUUUGGCACACGGAGGCCGCCCGCAAAGUCUGGGGCCAUUCCGAGUCCGGCGGACGAACUUCGCCCACGCCCCCCACCAAGGCUAUAGCCCACCCGUUUUUUGGCCAUUUUUCCGCUGGGGGGUCUUGGCGCCCCGACCUUCGGGGGCUGAAUUUUGGGCGCGGGUGUGCCCGUGGCCUAUUUUUUGCACACGGAGGCCGCCCGCAAAGUCUGGGGCCAUUCCGAGUCCGGCGGACGAACUUCGCCCACGCCCCCCACCAAGGCUAUAGCCCACCCGUUUUUUGGCCAUUUUUCCGCUGGGGGGUCUUGGCGCCCCGACCUUCGGGGGCUGAAUUUUGGGCGCGGGUGUGCCCGUGGCCUAUUUUUGGCACACGGAGGCCGCCCGCAAAGUCUGGGGCCAUUCCGAGUCCGGCGGACGAACUUCGCCCACGCCCCCCACCAAGGCUAUAGCCCACCCGUUUUUUGGCCAUUUUUCCGCUGGGGGGUCUUGGCGCCCCGACCUUCAGGGGCUGAUUUUUGGGCGCGGGUGUGCCCGUGGCCUAUUUUUGGCAAACGGAGGCCGCCCGCAGAGUCUGGGGCCAUUCCGAGUCCGGCGGACGAGCUUCGCCCACGCCCCCCACCAAGGCUAUAGCCCACCCGUUUUUUGGCCAUUUUUCCGCUGGGGGGUCUUGGCGCCCCGACCUUCGGGGGCUGAUUUUUGGGCGCGGGUGUGCCCGUGGCCUAUUUUUGGCACACGGAGGCCGCCCGCAAAGUCUGGGGCCAUUCCGAGUCCGGCGGACGAACUUCGCCCACGCCCCCCACCAAGGCUAUAGCCCACCCGUUUUUUGGCCAUUUUUCCGCUGGGGGGUCUUGGCGCCCCGACCUUCGGGGGCUGAUUUUUGGGCGCGGGUGUGCCCGUGGCCUAUUUUUGGCAUACGGAGGCCGCCCGCAAAGUCUGGGGCCAUUCCGAGUCCGGCGGACGAACUUCGCCCACGCCCCCCACCAAGGCUAUAGCCCACCCGUUUUUUGGCCAUUUUUCCGCUGGGGGGUCUUGGCUCCCCGACCUUCGGGGGCUGAUUUUUGGGCGCGGGUGUGCCCGUGGCCUAUUUUUGGCACACGGAGGCCGCCCGCAAAGUCUGGGGCCAUUCCGAGUCCGGCGGACGAACUUCGCCCACGCCCCCCACCAAGGCUAUAGCCCACCCGUUUUUUGGCCAUUUUUCCGCUGGGGGGUCUUGGCGCCCCGACCUUCGGGGGCUGAAUUUUGGGCGCGGGUGUGCCCGUGGCCUAUUUUUGGCACACGGAGGCCGCCCGCAAAGUCUGGGGCCAUUCCGAGUCCGGCGGACGAACUUCGCCCACGCCCCCCACCAAGGCUAUAGCCCACCCGUUUUUUGGCCAUUUUUCCGCUGGGGGGACUUGGCUCCCCGACCUUCGGGGGCUGAUUUUUGGGCGCGGGUGUGCCCGUGGCCUAUUUUUGGCACACGGAGGCCGCCCGCAAAGUCUGGGGCCAUUCCGAGUCCGGCGGACGAACUUCGCCCACGCCCCCCACCAAGGCUAUAGCCCACCCGUUUUUUGGCCAUUUUUCCGCUGGGGGGUCUUGGCGCCCCGACCUUCGGGGGCUGAAUUUUGGGCGCGGGUGUGCCCGUGGCCUAUUUUUGGCACACGGAGGCCGCCCGCAAAGUCUGGGGCCAUUCCGAGUCCGGCGGACGAACUUCGCCCACGCCCCCCACCAAGGCUAUAGCCCACCCGUUUUUUGGCCAUUUUUCCGCUGGGGGGUCUUGGCGCCCCGACCUUCGGGGGCUGAAUUUUGGGCGCGGGUGUGCCCGUGGCCUAUUUUUGGCACACGGAGGCCGCCCGCAAAGUCUGGGGCCAUUCCGAGUCCGGCGGACGAACUUCGCCCACGCCCCCCACCAAGGCUAUAGCCCACCCGUUUUUUGGCCAUUUUUCCGCUGGGGGGUCUUGGCGCCCCGACCUUCGGGGGCUGAAUUUUGGGCGCGGGUGUGUCCGUGGCCUAUUUUUGGCACACGGAGGCCGCCCGCAAAGUCUGGGGCCAUUCCGAGUCCGGCGGACGAACUUCGCCCACGCCCCCCACCAAGGCUAUAGC